CCUACGGGGAGCAGCAGUGGGGAAUAUUGGACAAUGGGGGGAACCCUGAUCCAGCGACGCCGCGUGAGUGAAGAAGUAUUUCGGUAUGUAAAGCUCUAUCAGCAGGGAAGAAAAUGACGGUACCUGACUAAGAAGCCACGGCUAACUACGUGCCAGCAGCCGCGGGAAUACGGAGGGGCAAAGCGUUACCCGGAUUUCUGGGGGUAAAAGGGAGGGAAGACGGUGAGGAAAGUCUGAUGUGAAAGGUCGGGGCCCAACCCCGGGACGGCAUUGGAAACUGUUGAACUGGAGUACAGGAGAGGUAAGCGGAAUUCCUAGUGUAGCGGUGAAAUGCGUAGAUAUUAGGAGGAAUACCAGUGGCGAAGGCGGCUUACUGGACUGUAACUGACGUUGAGGCUCGAAAGCGUGGGGAGCAAACAGGAUUAGAUACCCGAGUAGUC
rnacentral:rRNA from 1 species